rnacentral:rRNA from 1 species
AGAGUUUGAUCCUGGCUCAGGAUGAACGCUAGCGGCAGGCUUAACACAUGCAAGUCGAGGGGCAUCGGGAGGGAAGCUUGCUUUCCUUGCCGGCGACCGGCGCACGGGUGAGUAACACGUAUGCAACCUGCCCUCUUCAGGGGGACAACCUUCCGAAAGGGAGGCUAAUCCCGCGUAUAUCGGUUUCGGGCAUCCGAGAUCGAGGAAAGAUUCAUCGGAAGAGGAUGGGCAUGCGGCGCAUUAGCUUGACGGCGGGGUAACGGCCCACCGUGGCGACGAUGCGUAGGGGUUCUGAGAGGAAGGUCCCCCACACUGGUACUGAGACACGGACCAGACUCCUACGGGAGGCAGCAGUGAGGAAUAUUGGUCAAUGGGAGAGAUCCUGAACCAGCCAAGCCGCGUGAGGGAAGACGGCCCUAUGGGUUGUAAACCUCUUUUGUCGGAGAACAGAACCCGGGACGUGUCCCGGACUGCGUGUAUCCGAAGAAAAAGCAUCGGCUAACUCCGUG